CUGAUUGCCACGGCUGCCUCCUGCCUGUGUCUCACCCGCUGACCCUGCUGUCCACUGUUGGGGGUCAGCUAUGAUAUGGACAGAUUGCUGGGGGUCAGGAAACAGGCCCCUCGCAGUCCCAAGGAACCCAGGGGUCUUACUGGCACCCGACAGUCCCUGACCAUCAGGGCAGAUGUGUUUCCUCUCAUGACCCGAACCGUGGUGAUCAGCAGGGCCUCGGGCAGCUCCCCCCACCCCACCCACUCACUGUGUGACAUGUUGGGAAUUGCACAUGGCAACUAAUCAGCGACAACAAGAGGACGUGAGGAUCUUGAGAUGUGCAGAAUGAAAAGAUCUCGUGACUAGUAGGAUGUGGUGGUGCAUACCCAUCAGUCUAGCACUCAGGAGGCUGAGGCAGGAGGAUCACCAUGAAUUCGAG
rnacentral:lncRNA from 1 species